GCCUUGUUCAGAUUACAGCUGAAUAACAUGUUAUUCGAAGGUGUUACUUCUGAAUAACAAAACCGUUCGCACUAGCAUUUUAGGUAAUACUAUUUGACAGCUGACAGCAUGUGUCAAGCGCCAAAUUUUUUCGAGCAGUUUGUUGUUUGUUUACAAAUAUGCAGCGAGAUUCUUCAAAUUAGAAUUCAAUUAUUAUUAAACAAUUAAUCUGUUUGCGAUUAAAGAACUGUUCCGCGGUAAUGAGAUUUAUUAAUUUGCUAUUUUCUUCGUAAUUGCAAGAAGCGGACCAAACUCCGAAGGCGUGAGUUCAGUAUGGGAUGAAACUGAUAGUGAUUAGUGUGCGCUAAAAAGCCAGUAGUAUUUGUGUGCUUCGUUUAAAUUUUAUUUUGCUCAUUUUUCCUUCGGAAAUCGGCUAGGAACUUUGGUUACAAGUUUCGUCACCGGUGAACGGAAUGUGAAGUCGAGGAUUCCAUAAAUAUUACACAGGCAGAAAGCAUCAAUGGAGCCUGGAAGGUCAAGAUGGAUCAGAAAUAAUACAAUGUUUAGCAGCUGCAAGACGAGCCAACGUGAAUUCAAGUUAAACAAAAUUGUAUCGCCAAAACAGUGUGACAAUGGAAUUAAUGGAACAACUUCAGCGUGAGAAAACAGGAUUCCUGGAACCCGAACUAACUCGAGAACUACGGUGGAAAUUCCAAAAAUAUUCAGUGCUAUCGUUUGGAGCGACCGACGGCUUUUUACUGGGAUGCGUCUAGUCCUUGGACCCAAUGGGAAGUGUCAUCAGUGUUGGUUGUCCUCCCCUAUUUGGUUGUAUCGUUGAUCGGAUUAUUCUGCACCUAUUUUGUAGAUCCAGUUUUGCUCAAAAGGUCACCAAUCGGAAAACCACAAGUUGCGGGUAGUGAUAGUAUUAUAAUUGGUUUUAAGAGUAAGAAACCCUCCGUCGUUUCACCCACAAGAGGAUGUGAACGAGGCCAGGCACGGAACUACGUUGUUGUGUUUCGCUAGGAAUGGAUCGUGGAGUACUACUAACUAAAAUAUAUACUAGAGUAAAAUUAUUCAAACGAAAUAAAGAUAUUCAAACGCAUUCACUUCUUCUUCUUCUUUUUCUUCUUCUACGGGUCUACAUUCCAAGUGGAACCUGGCGCGUUUUUCAACUCAGUAUCCUUCACCAUUUUCUCAGUUAAAAUUUGAAAGCUUUUCUAUGCCCGCCAUUGCAUAAGUGUAUGUCCUGUUUGGCAAGUACAAUGGAUACAUUAUGCCCAAGCAAUCGAGAUUGUUUUCCACUCGAAAACAUACUAGACUUAACCGAAAAUCAAACUUGUUAACUCUGGAUUCGCAGUCCUACGCAUUCAGUUGAAGGCAGAUAGCUUAAGGGCUGAAUAUAUUCAAGUCAAUAUGAAUUAGACGGUUCAAAUAAAAUGUAAGGAAUCCUAAAAAUCUAUUCUUGUUUUUAUUAACUAUGGAUUCAAUUCACUUUUAAUCUAGCUUUAUUUUUUAUGAAUUUUAAAAUUAUUUAUGAAAGUUUCCCAAGUAAUACCGAAUUUAAAAAUUGAUGUAUAACGUGUUUGAAGUAAGUUUUGAAAAGGUUUCUGUUAAACAUACAGCUUAUUGAUUGAUAGAAGAUGUUUUGUAUUACAUUCUCACGACUUUCUGAUAACAUGUAAUUUUUUGAUAUUUGUUUGGUUUUUCAAAAUAUUUUGUUUUACACUCUCUAGACAUAAAACAUGCCACCAGGAUGAUUUCUCGAACUUACAAUUAACAUGUUCAUUUUUUGAUAUUUGUUUUAGUUAGAAGAUAUGUCGUUAUGAUCCACAUGUAUGUGUAUUUUAAUUUAUUUUAUCAAAAUGGAAUUCUAAAAAAUGUUUGCAUGUAUUUUUUUCAUCCAAUCCUGUAAAUAUUUUUAUUUGAAAUGAGACAUUUGUCAACAGCUUUUGUUGUAUUAAAUUUACAGAUCAUAUUAU